UAUUCAGGGAGGUGCUAAUGACGUCACCUUAGAGUGAUUAGUUCCUGCCUGGAUACA
rnacentral:pre_miRNA from 1 species